rnacentral:snRNA from 1 species
ACAGUUUAUUUUAUCUGGAAGCAU